GUGCGAUCUUGGCUCACUGCAACCUCUGCCACCCGGGUUCAAGCAGUUCUCCCUGCCUCAGCCUCCUGAGUAGCCGGGAUUACAGGCACGCGCUACCAGGCCCGGCUAAUUUUUUUUUUUUUUCUUUUUUGGUAGAAUCGAGGUUUUGCCAUGUUGGCCACGUUGGUCUCGAAUUCCUGACCUCAGUUGAUCCGCCCAUCUCAGCCUCCCAAAGUGCUGGGAUUUCAAGCGUUAGCCACCGCACUCGACCAAAUGACACUGUCUUAAAUGAUUUAAUGUCUUAAAUCGGGAAAGGAGAGUAAGAGAAAGCACUCAAUGGAGUCAGAGGUGUCUUGCAGCCUAGCUCUUUCCACAGACAAGCCACAUGGGCCUAUCAUCUAACCUUUUCAAACUUCUCCAACUGCUUCUGUGAUGGAGGGAUUUGGGCUAGAGGAUCUUUUUAUUUUAUUUUAUUUUAUUUUAUUUUGGUGACAGAGUCUCACACUGUCGCCCGGGCUGAAGUGCAGUGGCACAAUCUCAGCUUGCUGCAACCUCUUUCUCCUGGGUUCAUGCGAUUCUCCCGCCUCAGCCUCCCAACUAGCUGGGAUUACAGGCGCACACCACCACACCUGGCUUAUUUUUUGUGUUUUUAGUAGAGACGGAGUUUCACUAUGUUGGCCAGACUGGUCUCGAACUCCUGACCUCGUGAUCCGCCCACCUCGGCCUCCCAAAGUGCUGUGAUUACAGGCAUGAGCCACCGCGCCUGGCCGAUGAUCCCAUUUUUCAAAGUAGGCUGGGCGCGGUGGCUCACGCCUGUAAUCCCAGCACUUUGGGAGGCCAAGGUGGGCGGAUCACGAGGUCAGGAGAUCGAGACCAUCCUGGCUAACACGGUGAAACCCCUUCUCUACUAAAAAUUCAAAAAAUUAGCCGGGCGUGGUAGCUGUAGUUCCAGCUACUGGUUGGGGGUUGGGAGGCUGAGGCAGCAGAAUGGCG
rnacentral:lncRNA from 1 species